rnacentral:rRNA from 1 species
UACGAAGGGGGCUAGCGUUGCUCGGAAUCACUGGGCGUAAAGCGCACGUAGGCGGAUUGUUAAGUCAGGGGUGAAAUCCUGGAGCUCAACUCCAGAACUGCCUUUGAUACUGGGGAUCUCGAGUCCGGGAGAGGUGAGUGGAACUGCGAGUGUAGAGGUGAAAUUCGUAGAUAUUCGCAAGAACACCAGUGGCGAAGGCGGCUCACUGGCCCGGUACUGACGCUGAGGUGCGAAAGCGUGGGGAGCAAACAGG